UUGCCAAUUUGACAAAGAACAGUCGGGAGAGUGUCAACACAUUAAUAAAUGUCCACAAUGCUUUUCUUGCUGUAAUUCAUCAUCAAACAGAGAAUGUUUUCCAAGAAGUGACAUUAAAAUGAACUGGACCAUGCUAGAAGAAAAGAAAAAAGUAUUAUUGACGAAACAUGACAAAGAAAUAAGUGAAUGCCAUGGCUUUAAAUCAAGCAUAUACUGGAUGAUGCCUCAAGUGAUCAAGAACGAGCUCGAAGUAAC